rnacentral:snRNA from 1 species
UUCUCUUCGGAGACAUCCGAUAAAAUUGGAACGAUACAGAGAAGAUUAGCAUGGCCCCGCGCAAGGAUGACACGCACAAAUCGAGAAAUGGUCCAAGUUUUU